rnacentral:rRNA from 1 species
GAUCUCCUCCAAGAGUCCAUAUCGACGAGGAGGUUUGGCACCUCGAUGUCGGCUCAUCGCAUCCUGGGGCUGAAGAAGGUCCCAAGGGUUUGGCUGUUCGCCAAUUAAAGCGGUACGCGAGCUGGGUUCAGAACGUCGUGAGACAGUUCGGUCCCUAUCCGCUGUGCGCGCAGGAGACUUGAGAAGGCCUGUCCCUAGUACGAGAGGACCGGGACGGACGAACCUCUGGUGUGUGGGUUGUUCCGCCAGGAGCACUGCCCAUUAGCUACGUUCGGGAGAGAUAACCGCUGAAAGCAUCUAAGCGGGAAGCUUGCUUCAAGAUGAGGUCUCCCACUGGAAAACCAGGUAAGGCCCCCGGAUAGACCACCGGGUUGAUAGGCCGGAAGUGGAAGCACCGCAAGGUGUGGAGCUGACCGGUACUAAUAGGCCGAGGGAUUGAUUACAA